CACCUUCACGAUUGAUGAUUCCCCCCCCCAACCCCCCCCCCACACACACACCAAAUAAACCCUAAUAAAACCAUCGAUCUAUCAUCUCAAGAUUUCCAUCUGCAGGUACUUCACGGUAUGAUCAAAUUCGUCUCAAUUCCAUCUUCAUGGACUUGUCAUAUUCGUCUCAAAUAAUCCCUUAUAUUUUGAUAAUCACCGCACAUCUUCGUCGUCAAGUCCAUCAACUUUAGUAUACAUGAUUUCAGGUAUACUCCGAUCCUUAUUGAUCUAUUAACGCUGGCUUUAUUCAUUUAGUGCUUGAUGUAAAGGGUGUUAAAUCGACUGUGGGUUCAAUAAAUUUUUAAAGAAAGCAUAACAAAUCAUUGUUUUUUCAAACGGGCCUGUCAAGGAAUCACCUGCUCGGACAAAAGGUAGUGGAAUAGAGAAAGCGGAUUAGCUAGUAAUAAUCAGAUGUCUUAGUGAUAAUCACCUGCUUGAUGUGCUGAUGCCUUGUACUUCUUCUUCAGAUUGAUGGAAGUGUUUCAAACAUAAUAGUUACAGCAAAUUGGGGUGUAGUGAAGCCAAAAGUUGUUGUAGCUGAAUAUAUAUCUCAAGUGACUAAUUAUGUUUUUUUCUCUCAUCUGUUUUACAACCCGUGUUAAUGCCUAUGUGAUUUAUUGGUAUUCUAGUUAAAUGAGGAAGCACACUCUUAGAGCAUUCACAUCCAAUCCACUAAAAAUAUACAUACAUUUCACUAAAAAUCAACUCCUAUAUCAAUAUAUUUCCACUAAAAACAAAUAUUUUUUCUCUCUCUCUCUCCUUUUCAAUAUAUAUUACAUUUUUCUCUCUCUUUCACUCACAACCACUUUCAAUAUAUAUUAAAAAAUUAUAGUGGGUGAACAGUGUCCCCCCAAAUAUACAGAUGAACAAUAAUAUUUUCUCUCUCCUCCACUCACAACCACUUUUUAUACUCCUUACAUUUUAAAAACCCCACACACUACAUAUGAUGGACUGGAUGGGAAUGCUCUUAGAUUGUAAAGAAGUACAAAGCUAUAAUGUGAUGGAAAUUGUAACAUCAAAUAUUUGAGGUUCAUAUUCUUUUUGGUUAAUCAGUAUCUUGAGCUCAGAUUUUUAAUUAUGUGGCAGUUGUAACAUCAGAUAACAUUUUUUUUUGGGAAAAUGCUUACAGGACAUGCUGACAAUAUAGAAAUUGCUCUUACAAUGUGCCCAACUAAACCCACCUGAACCUUAUGUACUGUCAGGAGGGAAGGAUAAAUAUGUGGUUUUAUGGAGCAUUCAUGACCAUAUAUUUACAUCAGUUUUGUUACAUUGUUACAGCUGCUUAGAGACAUUCGAAGAGAUUCUGUCUCUAAUUAUCUACAUUUUGCAAGAGCUUCUUUCUUCUAGGCCAAAAGAGAAGCCGAGUUUUUGAAGACACUGUAGUUUAAUUCAUGGUGGCAAAUUGAUGCCUUGGUUCAAGAUUAUCAUGGGUGGAUGCAAGUCUGCAUUUGCGUGUUCUCUUCUGCUACAUCAGGAAAAGCGUGUGAAUCUAAGCUUGUGAAUCUGCUGUUUCUGUUUUGGUAUUUGUUGGUGCUGCAUUUUGGAUUAAUUUGCCAUUGGUCGUUUAUACCUAAUUCAUGCAAUGCAUGAAGUAGCUACUGCAAAUGCUUAAGGAUAUGACUUAUGAGAGUUUAUACCGUUUAUUUGCCAUUGGUCGUUUAUCUUUGAUUCUUUAUCUACUUUACUUCAUUUUUGUCGAGUUCUUUGAUUUUCAUGAUACUUGCCACCAUUGGCCCUACUAGUUUAUUAUGGGUUCUUUUGAUUUUGGGUCUGAAUUGACAAACAUUUGUUUCUCCUGUAGACUGAUCCAAAAUUUGAUUUGAAUAUUAAUUAAGAUGAUGUGGAAGACAAGUGUUCCAACUAUGGACGUGUGACAACCGGUGAUUUACGGCUCUUAAUUACGUGAUUAACAGGUGAUUAACGCGAUAAUAAAUAGUGUUUACAGCACAAAUUAACUUAAUUAGGCCUUUAGAGUGCCUAGGAACGUUUAUCCGACUUUACAGUACGCGCAUGAAGAUUCGCGUGGAAUCUGCGGAAUAUUAAAUGGCAACGAUUAUGGGUAUUAUUUUACGCACUUUUAGAACAAAAAUUUUAUAUUAUGACGUUCCGACAAUUUCAGGUUUCGAUAACGGGUCACGUAGGAAUUACGGACCGCUUAAGCACGGAGAUUGAGCUUGUGGGCCCUGGGCCCAAGCCCAAAACCCACAAGCCAAAACCUGCACAUAAUAUAAUAGAUCCUAUAAAAUCCCUACAAAUCUUUUGCAAAUCUCUGCAAAAUCUUUGCCUUAGAAAUCUGUUGAAGAUCUCUACAAAUCUUACUAAAUCUCUAUAUAAUCUUUACAAGAGAUUUUAUGUCUCAAAAGAUGAAACCACACAAUCUAUAAAGAUGUUGCCUGAUUUUAUAUAUAUACUACAUACACAUACAGAACUUUACCCACAAAGAAAUCAAAUACACAGACAUAUUACUCUCCUCUCCCCCUUUGUCUGCAUAUUAAUUUACACACACACAAACCCACAAUACACUCAUUACUCUCAUACUCUCUCGACCUCUAUACUACAGACACAAAAACAACACCCACACCAUCCACAACAUCCCCCUGCUCUCGAUCAGUUGGUCAAGCCGACCGGAGCCAACACCGGCACCGAUGCCGGCGACUUCCUCCUCCAAUAACACCCACACACCCCUGAAUACCCACCCCCCUUUUCUGUUCGAUCUGUCAAAUCGGACCACCGCCACCAUCGUUGGGUGGUGGUGAUGAGCGAUGGCUGGUUCCAGAAGGCAAGGAGAGAGAGUGAAACGAGAUAGAGAGAGAGAGAGAGGCCGAGGAGAGAGAUCAGAGAAUCGGAGACGGCGGAGCAGCGCCGCCGCUCACGUCGGCGGCGGUGGAGUCGAACAGCGGCGGUGGUGCGUAUGCUUCGAUAAAUUUCCGGUUUUCGGUCGGCAAUCCAGUUCCGGUUCAGUUCUUGGAAGCUUCGGGUUCGGGUUGAGAGCGGUUCGGGUCACAGUCGCGGUUCGGGUCACAGCCGCGGGUCAGGUCUUUCGGGAGGCUUGGGUCAGAUUACGUGUUUAGGAACCGGAUUCAUGUUCGGGUUAGCUUCGAUUCGUUCUCGUGGUUCGUGGUUUGGUUCGGCCACAGGUCAGUCAACGGGUUAGCCGGUUCGGGUCAACUCGGUCAAACCGAGUCGACUCGAUCAGCAUUCAGUCAACUCGGUUCGAGUUCAGUCAAACAAAUGGUUAACAUCAGUACGGUUCGGGUUCACAAUUUUGGGAUUGAGGUUCGCGGUACGGUCAGCUCGAGUCAACAGUCAACUAUGGUCAGAUUUCAGGUCCGAUUCGACUCAGUCAAACCCGAGUCAACUCGGUCAACACGGUCAAACUUAGUCAACUCAGUCAACGGUUCGACGCAAAGAGCGGUAAAGAUUUAAUGGCGUGAAUUAUUUCGUUAUAAAUCUAUUUAUUUUCGUGAAACGAGCUCAAACCGAACGGAUUAGUACUUAGAUUACAUUUUGUCGCUUUUACAAGAAUUGUUUAUAUUGGUUAUUGAACAUUGUUAAACCUUGAAAAAUAUAACGACAACUUGGUUGUCCAGGAUGUCCAAAAACAGAGGAAACUCUGUCCGUUUUUUGAGAAAAAAUUCGUAAUAUACAACGCGUUUUAUUAUAAAGCAAACUAUCGGAUUCGAAUACCCUUUUAGAAAAACAAAUACGAACAUAUAACGUCUUUUGACGUUACUUUACAACUCACUAAAAACGACGAUUCGAUGUUAUUCACAACUAAUAAAUAUAGUUAUUAUAUUUAUUUUAAAACCUUGAAAAUUCGACGAAACUUUUAUAUAAUCAAUGAAAUUAUUUAUAUUGUUUCAAAUGACGAAUAUUACGACUUCUUUUCAUAAAAAUAAAUGUAGAUUGCAUAUUUAUUUAGAAUGUCAAGCUACACGACACUUCUUUUAUAAUAUAAAUGCAGUUUACAUUUAUUUCAAACUUUCGACAACACUUUACGACUUUCGAAAGCAACGAUUCGGAGACUAUUUACAACGAAUAAAUAUAAUUAUUAUAUUCAUUCUAAGUUUUGAAACCUCGUCAAUUCCGUUAUAAAAAUAAAUAAAUAAAUAAAUAUAAUUUAUAUAUUUAUUUAUUCCGAAUAUCAAACAAUAUAGUUUCGUUUUAUAAAAUAAAUAUAAUUCAUAUAUUUAUUUCGGAUAUCAAACAACACGAUGAUUCUUUUAUUAAAAUAAAAAUAGUUUGUAUAUUUAUUUUAAACACCAACGGCUCGUAUUCUUUUCUAAAAAUAGAUAUAACUUAUCUGUUUAUUUCAAACAUCGAACGACUCGAUGAUGCUUUUAUAAAAUAAAUAUAACUUUUUAUAUUUAUUUUAAACGCCUAAACGGCAUAUACCUAUAUUUUGUUAAGACGCGAAACGUGAUACGAGUUGAUUAUAUAUUGUUUUCAUAUAACUGUUCUACGAAUUCUCGAGACGGCUAACACAAUUACAACGAUAUAUUUAUAUAUUUUUAUAUAUAAAUAUUUAUUUACUUUUAAAUCUCUCGAGAAUCAAGUCUUUUCAGGACUUAUUGGUUAUUAUCGAUAAUAAACGACACUUAUCAAAUCUAACUUUAUCAUUUACAUCAAACUAACAAUUUACCGUUGAAUCGUUCGGUUAACGAUUCGAUAGAGCUCGAUGACACGUAGUGUAGUUACUGCGUUUACUUAGAAACUUAUAAGAUAUUCUGUGUUAGAAAUAUUGUAGAAUGCAUGCUAGCAAGUCAAGUCUUGGAAACGACAUCACGAAGUCGUAAUUAGCUAGUUUGCACAAGGCAAUUCAGGUAAUUAAGGAUCUGGCAUGGUAUGAUACGUUUUCACGCUGCGUAUGAGAAAUAAGGUCAUCCAAAGUUUAGGGGUCGUGUCUCUUGCCUGGACGAGCCACCGCUCUUAAACUACGUCUGCUUUAUGUUUGUGAUUCUGAACAAUGUUUUUAUGAAUUAGGUUGUAACUUCCGUUGCAUGUGUCGGUACUUUAAAACAAUGUUGUGGUACUUUUAUUUUGAAACUUAAUCAAUGGAUGAUCUUGCAUGGUUUUACUUUC